UCAAACUUGGUCAUUUAGAGGAAGUAAAAGUCGUAACAAGGUCUCCGUAGGUGAACCUGCGGAGGGAUCAUUACUGAGUGAGGGCCUCCGGGUCCGACCUCCAACCCUUUUGUGAACCACCUCUGUUGCCUCGGGGGCGACCCCGCCGUUCGCGCGGCGGCGGCGCCCCCGGCGGCCCCAACCAAAACCUCGCGUAACUUUAGUGUCGGAGUAUUGAAUAAAUCAAUCAAAACUUUCAACAACGGAUCUCUUGGUUCUGGCAUCGAUGAAGAACGCAGC
rnacentral:misc_RNA from 1 species